GCCAGACUCCUACGGGAGGCAGCAGUGGGGAAUAUUGCACAAUGGGGGAAACCCUGAUGCAGCGACGCCGCGUGAGCGAAGAAGUACAUCGGUAUGUAAAGCUCUAUCAGCAGGGAAGAAGAUGACGGUACCUGACCAAGAAGCUCCGGCUAAAUACGUGCCAGCAGCCGCGGUAAUACGUAUGGAGCAAGCGUUAUCCGGAUUUACUGGGUGUAAAGGGAGCGCAGGCGGCCUUGCAAGUCUGAAGUGAAAUGCCGGGGCUUAACCCCGGAACUGCUUUGGAAACUGAGCAGCUAGAGUGCAGGAGAGGUAAGUGGAAUUCCUAGUGUAGCGGUGAAAUGCGUAGAUAUUAGGAGGAACGCCAGUGGCGAAGGCGGCUUACUGGACUGUAACUGACGUUGAGGCUCGAAAGCGUGGGGAGCAAACAGGAUUAGAUACCCGCGUAA
rnacentral:rRNA from 1 species